rnacentral:rRNA from 1 species
GAUCAAUUCUGGCGGCGUGCCUAACACAUGCAGGUCGAGCGCGUCUGAUUUGAUGCUUGCAUUAAUGAAAGAUGAGCGGCGGACGGGUGAGUAACGCGUGGGUAACCUGCCCUAUACACAUGGAUAACAUACUGAAAAGUUUACUAAUACAUGAUAAUAUAUAUUUACGGCAUUGUAGAUAUAUCAAAGUGUUAGCGGUAUAGGAUGGACCCGCGUCUGAUUAGCUAGUUGGUGAGAUAACUGCCCACCAAGGCGACGAUCAGUAGCCGACCUGAGAGGGUGAUCGGCCACAUUGGAACUGAGACACGGUCCAAACUCCUACGGGAGGCAGCAGUGGGGAAUAUUGCACAAUGGGCGCAAGCCUGAUGCAGCAACGCCGCGUGAACGAUGAAGGUCUUCGGAUCGUAAAGUUCUGUUGCAGGGGAAGAUAAUGACGGUACCCUGUGAGGAAGCCCCGGCUAACUACGUGCCAGCAGCCGCGGUAAUACGUAGGGGGCUAGCGUUAUCCGGAUUUACUGGGCGUAAAGGGUGCGUAGGUGGUCUUUCAAGUCGGUGGUUAAAGGCUACGGCUCAACCGUAGUUAGCCUCCGAAACUGGAAGACUUGAGUGCAGGAGAGGAAAGUGGAAUUCCCAGUGUAGCGGUGAAAUGCGUAGAUAUUGGGAGGAACACCAGUAGCGAAGGCGGCUUUCUGGACUGCAACUGACACUGAGGCACGAAAGCGUGGGUAGCAAACAGGAUUAGAUACCCUGGUAGUCCACGCUGUAAACGAUGAGUACUAGGUGUCGGGGGUUACCCCCCUCGGUGCCGCAGCUAACGCAUUAAGUACUCCGCCUGGGGAGUACGCCCCCCAGUGUGAAACUCAAAGGAAUUGACGGGGACCCGCACAAGUAGCGGAGCAUGUGGUUUAAUUCGAAGCAACGCGAAGAACCUUACCUAAGCUUGACAUCCCUUAGACCGGUGUUUAAUCACACCUUCCCUUCGGGGCUGAGGUGACAGGUGGUGCAUGGUUGUCGUCAGCUCGUGUCGUGAGAUGUUGGGUUAAGUCCCGCAACGAGCGCAACCCUUGUCUUUAGUUGCCAGCAUUCAGUUGGGCACUCUAGAGAGACUGCCAGGGAUAACCUGGAGGAAGGUGGGGAUGAGGUCAAAUCAUCAUGCCCCUUAUGCUUAGGGCUACACACGUUGCUACAAUGGGUGGUACAGAGGGUUGCCAAACCGUGAGGUGGAGAUAAUCCCUUAAAGCCAUUCUCAGUUCGGAUUGUAGGCUGAAACUCGCCUACAUGAAGCUGGAGUUACUAGAAUAAGAAGAUCAGAAUGCUGCGGUGAAAAAGUUCGCGGCUCC